UAAAAUGUUUGAAAGGAACAUCUGCACAGCC
rnacentral:piRNA from 1 species